rnacentral:lncRNA from 1 species
CUUACAUUCUGGAGGCACCGCUGGGAUUUCUGGGUGUGCUUCACUACAGUCAGCUCCUCGGAGCAUUUGGUAAGGCCCCCGGUCUUACAUUUUGGAGGCCCCAGAGAGAUCCCUGGGUAAGGAACCCUGGUUCAGCCGAGACUCUGUUGUGGGAUCCAGCAGGAGACUCAGGCACAGACCUCAGAAAACCUCUGGAGGUUUGAUUCCAAGACCCUGGAACCUCGUUGGAAGGGACAGGUUCCUGUUGUCCUGUCAACUCCCUUGGCGGUAAAGGUGGCUGGACAUUCUGCUUGGAUACAUCACAACCAUCUAAAAGCAGGACCCCCCAAGGAUGUCAAAAAGGACAAAUGGAAGGUUAUCAGCCAACCAGGUGACCAAAAGCUAAGACUGGAAUGGGUUGGAGAUGUUUCACCUUAAUGAUAAUAUUCUCUGGGACACUGGCAUUAUUGCCCCCAAGAGGACUAGAUCACACAAAAACAUGUAUGGAUUCAAUUGGCAAACUCACUUAACUUGUCUGAAUUCUGCUUAAAUGUUGAUGUAAAUUUCCAUUAUGUGCUGGGAAGCUGUCUCAUUCCGGUAUGCACCUCUUUAAAAUUAAUAUGACCCUAUACCCUAUUCAAGGACAUCCCAGGAAAAAAUCUUACUUACCUGGAUAGUUAUAAUUGGGGGCAUGACACCUGCCGUAAACCUAAAAAUGCUGUCAAAUUAUAUACACCCAAGGUAAUUAUGUCAAACAAAACUGAAUGUGCUAUGUAUGAAAAUUGUACAACCAAAUGUCCGAGGAUAAAACGGUCAAAAGGGAUGUCCUGCCAUAUAAAACAAAAAAUUGUGUGUAACAAUUGCCAUAUCUCCCUGCCCACAGGAUGGUUUUAUACCUGUGAAGGAAUAACCUUUAAUUAUAUUCCAGCAAAUUUAACCAAGACCCAUUGCUGUUUGAGUCGUCUAGCUGUAGUGUUGCCAGACAGAACUGAUUUGAUUGUGCCUAACAGAACUAAACGUUGGUCACCUUACACUGCACCAGGAUGCGAUGAUGACAUAGGUCUAUUAACAGAUGCUGAAGUAAUAACCAUGAUAGCAUCUUUUGUUGCCCUGCCUUCUAUAGGAGUCCAUGCUGAAAAGGCAGUAUGAAAAUUAGCUUUCAAGGUGGUCAAAGGGUUAAAUGCUACCUCAUCAGCCUUGGCAUUAAUUAACCAAGAGUUACAGGAACAGAGACAGGCAAUCUUAGAUAAUAGAGCAGCAAUAGACUAUUUGUUGCUCCUCCACCACCAAGGUUGUGAAAGAGUAAAAAAUAUGUGUUGUUUCAAUCUUACCGAUAAUGGCCCAAAAGAUUGAAGAAAAGGUAAAACAAUUAGAAGAUCUGGCUAAAAAAAAUAUAUAAUGAGGAUGGCGGGGACUUGUUCAAAUGGUUAACUUCGUGGUUGCCCAACCUACAAUUCUUAAAACAACUUUGUCUUGUCAUCAUAGUUGUGUGUACAUGCUUAUUAUUGUCAUGUUGUUGUAUACAAUGGAUACCUACAUUUGUGCGUAAGAUUACUUAAGUUCCAAAAAUCAGUGGGGAAUGUGGGACUGCAUAACCUUUGUUCCUUUUCUCCAGCCCCAUUGUGAUUAAAUGUGAGUUAAUGGAUAAAGAUGCUUGUUAGUUUUGGGACACUAGAUAAAAAUCUGUAACAGAUAUAAAGUCCCAAAGUAAACUACUCAACUCCUUGUUUGCCCAGAACUGAUGUUCCGGGCACCACAAUUUUUAGAACAAGCUGCAAUUGUCUGCUGACCAUCAAUACAUGACAGUGGACCACUAACCUUUGUCCCCUUUUCUUUAAUUCUAUAUGUUAACUUCCCCCUCAACCCC